GGAAUUCAAACGGCUGGGUAGGAAGCACGCUAGCAGGGGCCUCUGGCCUUGCUGAGGGUCCCUGUUUCCCCUUUUCCUUCCUUUUCACCCAACAAAACCCUGCUUUACUCACCCUUCAAACCAUCUAUGAGCCUAAAUUGUCGUGGUCGUGGAAUGGACAAGGACCCAGUCUUUAGCUGAACUAAGGGAAAGUCCUGCUUUUUGGCGCGCAACAGGGGAGCUCAAGAAACAGGCCUCACUCACGGCAUAUGGAACUAACCACGCCCCUAACUAAGAAGGCACACCUUAGUUGCAGUUAGCACACAAUUAAAGCAACUCUCCAAGUUUUACCUUAAAGUUCAAAAUUGCUAGGAGUUGAAACUACUAGAAAUAUAUUUACAUGCAAGAGUCAAAGAAACUUUGAACUAUUUAUGGCCUUUAAUAAUUAAGUAAGGUAUACUCCUGUGAUCAAGACUUGGAGCAUAUUUGUUUCUCUCUGCCUGGUUCCUCUAGAAAUUGGAAACUAUCAUUGUCAGCAUAACCUCAUUCUUCUUGGACACGGGACAAGAAUUCAGGAUGCACCAAAUGCAGGUAUAAGAAAGAAUGUAACACUGUGGCCCUUUGCCCUCCAUUAGCGCUGGGCAGCCAUCCCACACAACAAGAAGCAGCAGUGGGGCUGGGUCAGCCCCAGAGCCAUGGGCCUGAGCGAGGCAGAAGAACUGAACAAUCUGUAACACAGCUGGGCAAGGGUACACCUGGCCUAGCUGCAGGCUGAGCACGGGAUCUGGCUGGGGUGCAUGCCAAGUGCAGCCCACAUGGCUGAAUGGUCCAGGUACCUCCACCCAGGAGCCCAGGACCAAGCAGAGCCCAGGUGGGGGUGUUGCCAGCUGCAGAGGUCUCUGGCUGGCAAAGCAGCACUAAAAAAAAUCAUAUGUCAAAAUAAUUUAAUGCUUAAACUGUUACUAUGAUAUUCUUAGUUUUUGUAUAAAGAAGAAUGGAAUAUAGAAGGUUAGAGGUUCACCUCCACAGAAAUAGUAAGCUGAAGAAGCAGAAUUUAAGCUCAGAUUUUCUAACUUGAAAUGUUGUAAUACACUGUAACUAUCUCAACAGUAGCAAACAAAGCCACAAAUUUAUGAAAAUUCUGCUGCUAUUUCAAUAAGUUUAAAAAUAAAUGUUUUGACAAUUUAAAAAUGAAUUAAGUUAAAGCUAUUGUUAAAUAAAACGUAAAUGGAAGACACAACUUCACAUUUAAAGAGUGAAACAACAAUAUUUGUAAACUGAAACAAGGUAAAACCUAUAUAAAAAAAUGCUUACAAAAUUUCCAGAAGAGACUUACUGGCAUUGUAGAGAUAGAUAUAAAUUUCUGAAUAAAAUUCUUUGCAGUUAUUUUA
ensembl:lncRNA LINC01515 long intergenic non-protein coding RNA 1515